rnacentral:SRP_RNA from 1 species
GCUGAGCUCAGUAACAUGGGCUUGUAACCCAAGUGGGGGCAUUAAUGUGGUAGAAUGCGUAGGCCUGUCCAAAGGGUAGGGCUUGUGUUGCGAUUCUCUGGCCUGCCCUCUCCAAGCACAGAGUUGGGUCACGUGGUCCAGGCGAAGGCUUGGGCAACUUGGCUCCUAAAGUGGGGUGGAUUGCGUGAGGCUGGUUGCACAGAGCAACGAACAGCUCCCGCUUUGGGCAGUGGAAGGAUUACAGGCCGGUGUUGCACAAGUCCAAGGAAUGCCUGAUGGGCUGCCUAACUAGACCACCACUUUU